GACGAACGCUGGCGGCGUGCUUAACACAUGCAAGUCGAACGGAAAGGCUCUGCUUUUGUGGGGUGCUCGAGUGGCGAACGGGUGAGUAACACGUGAGUAACCUGCCCUUGACUUUGGGAUAACUUCGGGAAACUGGGGCUAAUACCGGAUAGCAGCUCCUGCUGCAUGGUGGGGGUUGGAAAGUUUCGGCGGUUGGGGAUGGACUCGCGGCUUAUCAGCUUGUUGGUGGGGUAGUGGCUUACCAAGGCUUUGACAGGUAGCCGGCCUGAGAGGGUGACCGGCCACAUUGGGACUGAGAUACGGCCCAGACUCCUACGGGAGGCAGCAGUGGGGAAUAUUGCACAAUGGGCGGAAGCCUGAUGCAGCAACGCCGCGUGCGGGAUGACGGCCUUCGGGUUGUAAACCGCUUUCGCCUGUGACGAAGCGUGAGUGACGGUAAUGGGUAAAGAAGCACCGGCUAACUACGUGCCAGCAGCCGCGGUGAUACGUAGGGUGCGAGCGUUGUCCGGAUUUAUUGGGCGUAAAGGGCUCGUAGGUGGUUGAUCGCGUCGGAAGUGUAAUCUUGGGGCUUAACCCUGAGCGUGCUUUCGAUACGGGUUGACUUGAGGAAGGUAGGGGAGAAUGGAAUUCCUGGUGGAGCGGUGGAAUGCGCAGAUAUCAGGAGGAACACCAGUGGCGAAGGCGGUUCUCUGGGCCUUUCCUGACGCUGAGGAGCGAAAGCGUGGGGAGCGAACAGGCUUAGAUACCCUGGUAGUCCACGCUGUAAACGGUGGGUACUAGGUGUGGGGUCCAUUCCACGGGUUCCGCGCCGUAGCUAACGCUUUAAGUACCCCGCCUGGGGAGUACGGCCGCAAGGCUAAAACUCAAAGGAAUUGACGGGGACCCGCACAAGCGGUGGAGCAUGUGGUUUAAUUCGAAGCAACGCGAAGAACCUUACCAAAUCUUGACAUCCUCUGAUCCCUCUAGAGAUAGAGUUUUCCCCUUCGGGGGACAGAGUGACAGGUGGUGCAUGGUUGUCGUCAGCUCGUGCCGUGAGAUGUUGGGUUAAGUCCCGCAACGAGCGCAACCCUUAAGCUUAGUUGCCAUCAUUAAGUUGAGCACUCUAAGUUGACUGCCGGUGACAAACCGGAGGAAGGUGGGGAUGACGUCAAAUCAUCAUGCCCCUUAUGAUUUGGGCUACACACGUGCUACAAUGGACAAUACAAAGGGUAGCAAAACCGCGAGGUCAAGCAAAUCCCAUAAAGUUGUUCUCAGUUCGGAUUGUAGUCUGCAACUCGACUACAUGAAGCUGGAAUCGCUAGUAAUCGUAGAUCAGCAUGCUACGGUGAAUACGUUCCCGGGUCU
rnacentral:rRNA from 1 species